UACAGAGGUCCCAAGCGUUGUUCGGAUUCAUUGGGCGUAAAGGGUGCGUAGGCGGCGCGGUAAGUCGGGUGUGAAAUCUUGGAGCUUAACUCCGAAACUGCAUUCGAUACUGCCGUGCUUGAGGACUGGAGAGGAGACUGGAAUUUACGGUGUAGCGGUGAAAUGCGUAGAUAUCGUAAGGAAGACCAGUGGCGAAGGCGGGUCUCUGGGCCGAUACUGACGCUGAGGAGCGAAAGCGUGGGGAGCGAACAGG
rnacentral:rRNA from 1 species